GACGAACGCUGGCGGCGUGGAUUAGGCAUGCAAGUCGAACGGUAUCAUCCUUUCGGGGGUGAGAGAGUGGCGAACUGGUGAGUAACACGUAGGUUAUCUACCCUCAAGACGGGGACAACCCAGGGAAACUUGGGCUAAUACCGGAUGUGAGCAACUUUUAGUUGUUUGAAAGGUGGCGUAAGCUGUCGCUUGGGGAUGAGCCUGCGUCCUAUUAGUUAGUUGGUGAGGUAACGGCUCACCUAGGCAAUGAUAGGUAGGCGGCCUUAACGGGUGGUCGCCCACACUGGGAUUGAGAUACGGCCCAGACUCCUACGGGAGGCAGCAGUCGAGAAUAGUCUACAAUGGCCGGAAGGCUGAUAGUGCGACGCCGCGUGAACGAGGGAGCCCUUCGGGGUGUAAAGUUCUUUUCUAUACGAGCAGUGCUAUAUAUAUGGAUAGUAUAUAUAGAGGGAUAGUAGUAUAGGGAAUAAGACAACGGCUAACUCCGUGCCAGCAGCCGACGGUAAACAUACUCGUAC
rnacentral:rRNA from 1 species